rnacentral:rRNA from 1 species
GUGGGGAAUUUUGGACAAUGGGCGCAAGCCUGAUCCAGCAAUGCCGCGUGCAGGAAGAAGGCCUUCGGGUUGUAAACUGCUUUUGUACGGAACGAAACGGUCCUGGUUAAUACCUGGGGCUAAUGACGGUACCGUAAGAAUAAGCACCGGCUAACUACGUGCCAGCAGCCGCGGUAAUACGUAGGGUGCGAGCGUUAAUCGGAAUUACUGGGCGUAAAGCGUGCGCAGGCGGUGCUGUAAGACAGGCGUGAAAUCCCCGGGCUCAACCUGGGAAUUGCGCUUGUGACUGCAGUGCUGGAGUACGGCAGAGGGGGAUGGAAUUCCGCGUGUAGCAGUGAAAUGCGUAGAUAUGCGGAGGAACACCGAUGGCGAAGGCAGUCCCCUGGGCAUGUACUGACGCUCAUGCACGAAAGCGUGGGGAGCAAACAGGAUUAGAAACCCGAGUAGUCC